GAGCUGCAGAAGCCAGUCAGAGAGGAGCUAAUCGGACUCUGCCCUGAGGGAGAAGCAGGCCCCAGAUGGAUCCAAUCACUAAAGAGAUUUGGAGGAUGUAAAUUAGCCAGAGGAAGGGGAAGAAGUGUUUCUGACAGAACAGCAUGUACAAAAGGCAGGAAGUGAGACAAAGACCCGGCAGGAUCAGAAAAAUAAAGGCACCCUUCCAGAAAAUGCUUACUGGCUCAGAACAGGAAGGCCUGCAUGAAAUUUAUACUUGCAGUUUUAUGGUAAUCUUCAGCAGGAGGGUUGAUCCGAAAUACCCAGGCUGCCAUGAC